rnacentral:rRNA from 1 species
AGAGUUUGAUCCUGGCUCAGAUUGAACGCUGGCGGUAUGCUUAACACAUGCAAGUCGAACGGAAACGAAACUAGCUUGCUAGUAGGCGUCGAGUGGCGGACGGGUGAGUAACGCGUAGGAAUCUGCCUGAUAGUGGGGGAUAGCCCGAAGAAAUUCGGAUUAAUACCGCAUAAUCUAUUCGUAGUAAAGUGGGGGACUUUCGAGCCUCACGCUAUCAGAUGAGCCUGCGUAAGAUUAGCUUGUUGGUAGGGUAAAAGCCUACCAAGGCAACGAUCUUUAGCUGGUCUGAGAGGAUGAUCAGCCACAUCGGGACUGAGACACGGCCCGAACUCCUACGGGAGGCAGCAGUGGGGAAUAUUGGACAAUGGGGGCAACCCUGAUCCAGCAAUACCGCGUGUGUGAAGAAGGCCUGAGGGUUGUAAAGCACUUUCAAUUGUGAAGAAAAGUUAACGGUUAAUAACCGUUGACCUUGACGUUAACUUUAGAAGAAGCACCGGCUAACUCCGUGCCAGCAGCCGCGGUAAUACGGAGGGUGCAAGCGUUAAUCGGAAUUACUGGGCGUAAAGCGUGCGUAGGCGGUUUAUUAAGUCAGAUGUGAAAGCCCCGGGCUUAACCUGGGAACUGCAUUUGAAACUGGUCAACUAGAGUAUGGUAGAGGAAAGUGGAAUUUCUGGUGUAGCGGUGAAAUGCGUAGAUAUCAGAAGGAACAUCAAUGGCGAAGGCAGCUUUCUGGACCAAUACUGACGCUGAGGUACGAAAGCGUGGGUAGCAAACAGGAUUAGAUACCCUGGUAGUCCACGCCGUAAACGAUGAUAACUAGCCGUUGGGGGGAUUUACCCCUUAGUGGCGAAGUUAACGCGUUAAGUUAUCCGCCUGGGGAGUACGGCCGCAAGGCUAAAACUCAAAGGAAUUGACGGGGACCCGCACAAGCGGUGGAGCAUGUGGUUUAAUUCGAUGCAACGCGAAGAACCCUACCUGGUCUUGACAUCCUGCGAACUUUCUAGAAAUAGAUUGGUGCCUUCGGGAACGCAGUGACAGGUGCUGCAUGGCUGUCGUCAGCUCGUGUCGUGAGAUGUUGGGUUAAGUCCCGUAACGAGCGCAACCCCUAUCCUUAUUUGCCAGCACAUUAUGGUGGGAACUAUAAGGAGACUGCCGGUGAUAAACCGGAGGAAGGCGGGGACGACGUCAAGUCAUCAUGGCCCUUACGACCAGGGCUACACACGUGCUACAAUGGGAAGGACAAAGAGCCGCGAAGCCGCGAGGUGUAGCUAAUCUCAUAAAUCUUUUCGUAGUCCGGAUUGGAGUCUGCAACUCGACUCCAUGAAGUCGGAAUCGCUAGUAAUCGUAGAUCAGAAUGCUACGGUGAAUACGUUCCCGGGUCUUGUACGCACCGCCCGUCAUACCAUGGGAGUGGGUUGCACCAGAAGUGGCUAGUCUAACUUUGUGAGGACGGUCACCACGGUGUGAUUCAUGANCUGGGGUAAAGUCGUAACAAGGUAACC